ACGGGGAGCAGCAGGCGCGAGAACUCUACAAUGCAGGCAACUGCGAUAGGGGAACAUCGAGUGAUACUCAUCUUGGGUGUCUGUCCUCCCGUCUAAAAAACGGGAGUUAGCAAGGGCCGGGCAAGACCGGUGCCAGCCGCCGCGGUAAUACCGGCGGCUCGAGUGGUGGCCGAUAUUAUUGAGUCUAAAGGGUCCGUAGCCGGCUUUGCAAGUCUUUUGGGAAAUCCAGCGGCUUAACCGUUGGUCGUCCGGGAGAUACUACAUUGCCUGGGACUGGGAGAGGUAGGAGGUACUCAGGGGGUAGGAGUGAAAUCCUGUAAUCCUUUGGGGACCACCGGUGGCGAAGGCGUCCUACCAGAACAGGUCCGACGGUGAGGGACGAAAGCUAGGGGCACGAACCGGAUUAGAUACCCGGGUAGUCCUAGCCGUAAACGACGCUCGCUAGGUGUCACAACGAUCGUGAAUUGUUGUGGUGCCGUAGGGAAGCCGUGAAGCGAGCCACUUGGGAAGUACGACCGCAAGGUUGAAACUUAAAGGAAUUGGCGGGGGAGCAC
rnacentral:rRNA from 1 species